GAAUCUUCAACAAUUAAGCCGCUAACUUAAUUUAUAGUGUUUAAAACAUUAAAGUUUCU
rnacentral:tRNA from 1 species